rnacentral:rRNA from 1 species
GUGCCAGCAGCCGCGGUAAGACAGAGGAGGCGAGCGUUGUUCGGAAUCACUGGGCUUAAAGCGCGUGUAGGCGGAUCGGCAAGUGCCCCGUGAAAGCCCCCGGCUCAACCGGGGAAUUGCGGGGCAGACUGCCAGUCUUGAGGCAGGCAGGGGUGCGUGGAACUCUCGGUGGAGCGGUGAAAUGCGUAGAUAUCGAGAGGAACGCCGGUGGCGAAAGCGACGCACUGGGCCUGACCUGACGCUGAGACGCGAAAGCGUAGGGAGCGAACGGGAUUAGAUACCCCGGUAGUCUACGCCGUAAACGAUGCGCACUAGGUUCGAGGGCUUCUGACAGUCUUCGGGCCGAAACGAAAGCGAUAAGUGCGCCGCCUGGGGAGUACGGCCGCAAGGCUAAAACUUAAAUGAAUUGACGGGG